rnacentral:tRNA from 2 species
GCGGGUGUAGCUCAGUGGUAGAGCGUCACGUUGCCAACGUGAAUGUCGAGGGUUCAAGUCCCUUCACCCGCU